rnacentral:rRNA from 1 species
AUUGAACGCUGGCGGCGUGCUUAACACAUGCAAGUCGUGCGGUAACAGGCGUAGCAAUACGUGCUGACGAGCGGCGAACGGGUGCGUAAUACAUGGGAAUCUGCCCUUUAGUGGGGAAUAACCCGGCGAAAGCCGGGCUAAUGCCGCAUAAGAUCUUCGGAUGAAAGCGGGGGACCGUAAGGCCUCGCGCUGAUGGAUGAGCCCAUGUCGGAUUAGCUAGUUGGGAGGUAACGGCUCACCAAGGCGACGAUCCGUAGCUGGUCUGAGAGGACGGCCAGCCACACUGGGACUGAGACACGGCCCAGACUCCUACGGGAGGCAGCAGUGGGGAAUAUUGGACAAUGGGCGAAAGCCUGACGAAGCAACGCCGCGUGGAGGAUGAAGG